UCUAUUUUAGUGGGCACAUGACAGGCUGUGGGGCACAUAAUCUAAUCCCUACUCUUCAGCGUCCCCCACCUCACACUCACGUUGUCUAAUGAUAGGGUCAGCUCUGGCUCUUUUGGGAUUCCCACUCAUUCCAGUAGGUCUUAUGUGGAAGGGAACUUUUUGAAGGUCGGUGCCCUUGGAGUCAUUCAAAAGGAGCUGCCUUUUUCAGUUGUGCAACAAGCUCUGGUGCUGUGUAUUAACCUCUCCAGACUUAAGUUGCAUGCAUUCUAAUUAUGAAUAAUAAUAAAAAUAUUCUAUAAUCCUAUAAACCUCCUAUUACACAACCUCAGCCUUAGUGUGAAAUCCAAUAGCCUUGGCUCUGUUGGAUGGCAUGUUUGGAAUCUCAGGCUGUUUAUACUGCGCUAUUGACAGUUUGAUAAACUAAAGGUAGCCCUGCACUGAUCUAGUUUUCAAUUUUGCGUGUUGUGUAUGUGUUUGUGUUUGUAUUUGUUUGUAUCAGUGUUGUGUUUUGUUCUAUAAGACUGUUUUUCCACCCAAAUGCCUUCAGCAGCUUGGGCUACCUCUACCUAAUAACACCCUUUUGUGUUUCAUUCAACGUUUUUCUCAUCUGUGCUAAACCAAUAACUCCCCUUAGUUAUCAAAGGGUAAAUAUGGAGGGAGGCCCUUAGAUCAGUGGUAGAAUGUCUGCUUUGCAUGCAUAAGGUUCCUGGUUCAAUCCCAGGCACCUCCACAUGGGGCUGAGAAUGUCUCCUGCCUGAAACCCUGGAGAGCUGCUGAUAAUCAGUCGACAAUACUGAGCUGAGAUAUAUCAGUAUCCAAUUUCCAUAUUUCCCCAGUAAUUCAUCUAUGUUGAAUGGCAGGUGCACUAAUUUGUAGAUGUGGAAAUAGCCACACAAUUUAACAUCCUUGCAAUUGUGUGACUUAGGCUGCAGUCUGUCCACUGACCUGGAAAUAAGUCCUAUUGAACUCAAGAAGACUUACUUCUGAGUAGACAUGUAUAACAUUGUACUGUCAAUUGGUCUUCCAUGUAUGGAUGUGUUUGUGUGUAUAACUGGUGCACACACUUAUAUAUACUGAUGACUAAUUACUUUCCAGUAGGAAUCAGGAUUAUUUCUUUUCUCCCUCCGUUCUUCCAGCACCCUUGUUACCUGCUUGAUGGAGGAACAAAACUCACAUUUUUGGCAUAUGCUCCCUCCCUCUCUCCCCCACCCCCAAUAUUAUGCAAGGAAAGGCAAUGGAUGGAAUCAAAAAGGAAACAGAUGCAUUAGCAAUAGGUGAUGAUUGGUUUAUUGUUUUGGCAACGCUUGAGUAUUUCGUGGGAGGAAGCUGUGAAUUUUAUGGUCUGAUCCCAGUAGAGGACCACAUGCAAAAACAAGCCGUUCUCUUUAACACAGGAUAUUUCCAGCAUAUUUCAAGUGGGGGCAGUUCUGCCUCACUAAGCUUUUGGAAUUCCUUUGACAAUACUGCUGAGCUUGGCAGGCGCAAGCAGUCAACUCGCCUUGUAGGAGUUAAAACUUGAGAUGAAACUCUCUGCUCCUGUUAGUUGCCCCUGGGACUCAGGAAAGGAGAAGGGGCAUUGGGGUGUCAACUCUUGUAGAGGGAAGGAAAGAGCAGGGGUAGGCCAAAUGUAUUCAGGUACAUUUAUUAAAAAGGUGAUGGUGUAUUGCCAAAGGCAGACAAUAUAUUUGUUCUGAAGGGCUGCUUCUGCCCAUUUUACAAGAAUUGCUGCUUUCUUCUGUCCCUUGCAGCUCAUGCAGACUGGUAGGGUGAAGCCAGCUUAGACUUCAGAGGAGCUGGGUAUCCUACUGGGUUUUGUUGUCCAAAACAGAAGUAUCAGAAGCUGCCUUAGUCAGACCAUUAGCUCAUCUAGCUGAGUAUUGUCUAUGCUGGCCAUUGGAAAGUAAUAGUCAUGUGUACGUAUAUGUAUCACGCAUACAGGAAAUGCCAACUUGCAGCAUGGAUUUAAAGCACUAUGAUGCCACUUUAAAUGGCCAUGGCUUCUCCCAAAGAAUUAUGGGGACUGUAGUUUGUUAAGGGUGCUGUGAGUUGUUAGGAAGGCCUCCUGUUCCUUGGACAGAAUGACAGUUCCAAAAAUUCCCUGGGAAGAGGAAUUGAUUGGUAAACCACACUAGGAAUUGGAGCACUGGGGAUUUGCCACUUAAAUCAUGUUGAUUACCAUAGGUCUGGAAACUGGAUAUUGAUAAAUCUCUGCCUUGGAAUGAAAAAUUCAGGUGUGUGCUCCACACUAGCUAGAAACCCUUGAGUGGACAUGGGAAAUUGUCUUUUACUGAGCCAAACCAUUAGCUCAUCUUGCCUACACUCUUUGGUAGCAGCUUUCUAGGAUUUUAAAGAGUGGACUUUACGAGAGCUUUCUUAGGAUGCCUGGGAUUGGACUUGAUCCAUGGGGCAUAUAGAGUGGGGCUAGCGUUUGUGUACCUGACAAGGACCCUGCCUCGUAAGAGGUCCACUGCCAACCCACAGAGCCACCAGCCCAGCUGCUGCUAGUUCGCCUGCCCUCUUUGAAUGAGCAAGCAGCAAAGGUAGGAAAAAAGAGCAGCAAAUCCCUCUGGGUGGCCCUGCAGAUCCGGCACAGAGGAACAUAAGAAGGGAAGGGGCAGCUGCAGCUGCGGCAAGCAGGUAGGAACUCAAGAGGAGUAAAGGGUUGCUCUCAUAUGGGCAUGUAGAAUGUUGAAGCAUGUUUUAACCUGUUUUUUAAAUGUGUUUCUGACUUUGGUUUUGUUGUUUUUUAGUGUUUUAAAGAGUUGGCUAUAGUGAUAAUUUUAUUGCCUUGUUCUCUUUGUAAAACACUUUGAGAUUGCUUUUACAAUUCAACAGUGUAUAAAUUUUAUGAAAUAAAUGUGGUUGAAAGAAAGAUACCCACAAACUGUCAUUCUCACACACCCCACACACAUACCUGGGCAUAGCCAGGGGGCAGGGUGGCAGCUGAUCCCCCAUCAAGUAAAUAAAUAAGAAUACUUAGCUAACUGACCAAUCGUGUCUCAGAUGGCUCAGUUCUUUCCCCCAACAUAAAUCUUCCCCCUCAAAACAACAUAAAUCCUGGCUACCUAGGACUUUAUCCAGGCAAAGCUGUAGCUAUGCACUAUAGAUCAUCGCUCACACUUCGCUUGGAGAAAGUCCUAGGUUCAAUCUCUGAUGUGCCCAGGUAGGAAGGGCUUGCCACCUGAAACUCGAGAGAGCUCCUAAAAAUACAGGACUAAAUGGAUGAGGCAUAGGGCAGCUUCCUAAGUUCCUAUGUCACUUUGUGUUCUCUUGUCACAAGACAAGCGAAACUGCUUAUAGGGGGUGGGGAAGCUGCAGAUGUGCAAAGUAUUUUAUCCCAUUCUGAGCUCAAAAUCUCUGUAUAUUCUUUUUGUCAUCCUCAUGCGAGCCAAUGUGCUGUAGCAGUUGCGGAGCCAGCCAAGAAGAUCAAGAAAGAGUGCAUGCCUCCAGUUAAUCAUGAAUAUCACCAGUCGCACGCGGUCAGCCUAACCUACCCUGCAGGGUUGUUGUAAAGAAAAUCAUGGCGGGGGGAGGGGUGACUUGCUUUUGUACUCACCAUCCUGACCUCAGUGGAGGGAGGAAGGGUUGUGAAUGCAAUUUGGAUGUAAUCAUUUGCUGUUAAUAUUUGUUGUUAAUAAAUAAUGCACUGCCCAAGCACA